GAUGAACGCUGGCGGCGUGCCUAAUACAUGCAAGUCGAGCGAAUGGAUUAAGAGCUUGCUCUUAUGAAGUUAGCGGCGAACGGGUGAGUAACACGUGAGUAACCUGCCCUUGACUCUGGGAUAACUGCGGGAAACUGUAGCUAAUACCGGAUACGACCCUCGGAGGCAUCUCCAGGGGGUGGAAAGAAUUUCGGUCAAGGAUGGACUCGCGGCCUAUCAGCUAGUUGGUGAGGUAACGGCUCACCAAGGCGACGACGGGUAGCCGGCCUGAGAGGGUGACCGGCCACACUGGGACUGAGACACGGCCCAGACUCCUACGGGAGGCAGCAGUGGGGAAUAUUGCACAAUGGGCGCAAGCCUGAUGCAGCAACGCCGCGUGAGGGAUGACGGCCUUCGGGUUGUAAACCUCUUUUAGUAGGGAAGAAGCGAAAGUGACGGUACCUGCAGAAAAAGCACCGGCUAACUACGUGCCAGCAGCCGCAGUAA
rnacentral:rRNA from 1 species